CGCAAAUUGCGCCCUUUGGUAUUCCGAAGGGCAUGCCUGUUUGAGUGUCUUAUAAACCUCACCCCUAAUGUUUUAUCACAAUAGGUUGGUGCUUUGGGUGUUGCCAUUUACCUGGCUCGCCUUAAAUGACUAAGUGGAAUGCGUAAUAAGUUCUCGCAACCCUCCACUCUAAUACAAUUUAUAUUCUGACCUCAAAUCAGGUAGGACUACCCGCUGAACUUAA
rnacentral:misc_RNA from 1 species